rnacentral:rRNA from 1 species
CAGCCGCCGCGGGAAUACGUAGGGUGCAAGCGUUAAUCGGAAUUACUGGGCGUAAAGCGUGCGCAGGCGGUUCGUUAAGACAGAUGUGAAAUCCCCGGGCUUAACCUGGGAACUGCAUUUGUGACUGGCGGGCUAGAGUAUGGCAGAGGGGGGUAGAAUUCCACGUGUAGCAGUGAAAUGCGUAGGGAUGUGGAGGAAUACCGAUGGCGAAGACAGCCCCCUGGGCCAAUACUGACGCUCAUGCACGAAAGCGUGGGGAGCAAACAGGAUUAGAUACCCCUGUAGUCCCGUCUCUUAUACA